rnacentral:tRNA from 1 species
GUCUAGGUAGUAUAAACAAUUACCCUGGUCUUGUAAACCAGAAAUGGAACCCAAAAAACCCCUAGACA